rnacentral:lncRNA from 1 species
GCGUCCAUGUCAAUGAUACUGUGGAUAAUGUCGUUGAAAUUCGAGUAGCACAUGUGCGUGUGGAUCUGGGUGGUGUCCUUAACGCCACAGGUGGUGAUUCUGAACCCGUGCACUGCCCACCUCAAGUAAUCUGCGUGCUCGGACUUACGCAGGGGCAGACCCUCACGAAGUGCUGCCUCAUCAAUCUGGAUCACCGUGAUAUUAGCCUUUUCCAGGUCCUCCACCUCGUCCUUGAUCGCCAGCGAAAUCUGAUAGCAAGUCUCCGACCUGGGCUGGUCAUUCCUCACGAACGACCAGUUCAAGAUCGUCACUGGUCCUGUCAACAUACCCUUCAUUGGCCUCUUGGUCACGCUCUGUGCGUACGAAGACCAGUACACUGUCAUGGCCUUCGGUCGGCUCACGUCACCGAAGAUGAUUGGAGGCUUCACGCAACGAGAUCCGUAAGACUGUACCCAUCCGUUCGCUGAGAAGCAGAAGCCAUCCAGCUGCUCACCAAAAUACUCCACCAUGUCAUUCCUCUCGGGCUCACCGUGCACCAGCACAUCGAUGUCCAGCUCCUCCUGUAGCUUCACCACACUGUCGAUUUCAGCCUUUAUGGCCUUGUCAUAGUCUUCCUCCGAGAUCUUCUUGCUCUUCACCUCACGCCUCACUCUACGAAGCUCAG